rnacentral:rRNA from 1 species
UACGUAGGGUGCGAGCGUUAAUCGGAAUUACUGGGCGUAAAGCGUGCGCAGGCGGUUUUGUAAGCCAGAUGUGAAAUCCCCGGGCUUAACCUGGGAAUGGCAUUUGGGACUGCAAGGCUGGAGUGCGGCAGAGGAGACUGGAAUUCCUGGUGUAGCAGUGAAAUGCGUAGAUAUCAGGAGGAAUACCGAUGGCGAAGGCAGGUCUCUGGGCUGACACUGACGCUCAUGCACGAAAGCGUAGGGAGCAAACAGG